rnacentral:lncRNA from 1 species
GGCUAUGAACCCGUACAGCACGUUACUGUACUGAAUGCUUGUUUUGUCUCAGGACACAGGGAGGUCAAAGAGAGGGAGAGAGAUGGAGAAAUGGCUGGUUGACGGAGCAAUCAGAACACACACAACAUUGAUUGAUUAAGCUUGUCAUCUUCUAUGGGCAUGGUUCAUGGAAUUCCAAAACAAUUGCAAUAGUAACAUCAAAGACCACUGAUCACAGAUCAUCAUAACAGAUAGAUACAGUACUAAUGAAAAAGUUUGAAAUAUUCUGAGAAUUACCGGAAGUGACAGAGACACAAAGUGAGCACAUGCUGUUGGAAAAAUGAAGCCAAUAGGCUUGCUCAGUGCAGUGUUGGCGCUAACCUUUGAUUUGUGAAAACUGCAUUAUCUGUGAAGCACACUAAAAUGAAGUGCAAUAAAACAAGAAGACUGAAUUGUUUUUGAAGGGAAGGAAAGGAAAAGAAACGGAAGAAGAAAAAGGAGGAGGAGGGGAAGAAGAGGAGGAGA